rnacentral:rRNA from 1 species
UACGGGGGGGGGCAAGCGUUAUCCGGAUUUACUGGGCGUAAAGAGCGCGCAGGCGGCCGAGUAAGUCGAAUGUGAAAGCCCCCGGCUCAACUGGGGAAGGUCAUUCGAUACUGUUCGGCUCGAAGAUAGGAGAGGGAAGCGGAAUUUCAGGUGUAGUGGUGAAAUGCGUAGAUAUCUGAAGGAACACCAGUGGCGAAGGCGGCUUUCUGGCCUAUUCUUGACGCUGAGGCGCGAAAGCUAGGGGAGCGAACGGG